rfam:Salmo salar isolate Sally breed double haploid chromosome ssa16, whole genome shotgun sequence.
UGAAUGCACUAACUGUGAGUCGCUCUGGAUAAGAGUGUCUGCUAAAUGACUCAAA